GUCCACGCUGUAAACGAUGGAUACUAGGUGUGGGGGACUGACCCCUUCCGUGCCGCAGUUAACACAAUAAGUAUCCCACCUGGGGAGUACGAUCGCAAAGGUUGAAACUCAAAAGGAAUUGACGGGGGCCCGCACAAGCGGUGGAGUAUGUGGUUUAAUUCGAAGCAACGCGAAGAACCUUACCAGGGCUUGACAUCCCACGGCUGGAAUUAGAGAUAGUUCUUUCUCUUCGGAGACUGUGGAGACAGGUGGUGCAUGGUUGUCGU
rnacentral:rRNA from 1 species